AAACAAUUCAAGUGAAUUUUAAAUUGGACAUAAUAUUUUAUUAAAUUUGGCUUGCUAAUACUGUGUUAAACGUUAGCACAGGAGGGAAACAUGUUUAUUUCUAAUAAAUGAGAUCAGCAAAAGAAGAAAAGCAUUUUAAAUAGCAAACAAUUUAAUACUGUACUACUCAUUAAGUUCUCUGAUAGUUUUUUUGAUAUUCAACAGAAAAGGCAACAUUUUAAAGUCAUGCCAAAUGCAGAGCCAAACAAUUUCUUUUUACCCAAGUACAACAGGUAAUACCACUUUUGUGAAACCUAAUUCUAGGCAAGGCUAAAUUGAGCUACUUAUAUAAAAAUAUGCCCACUAGUCACUCAUAGUGUUCUAUUUGCUCAUAAUGUGAUUUGAUUAGAGGAGGCUAUGUCCAUGAAUUAACCAUGGAAUCUACCAGAUUAAUAACAGUUUCAAAUUAGACAGGUGACACAUGCCUAUAAUCCCAGAAGUUUGGGAGGCUGAUGCAGGAGGAUCACAAGUUCAAGGUCAGCCUCAGAAAUUUAGUGAGACCCUGCCGGCUCCCUGCAAAAAAAAAAAAAAGAGGGCUGGGGGUGUAGCUCAGUGGUAGAGUGCCCCUGGGCUAAAUCCCCAGUACAAAAAAAAAAAAGUUUUAAUUAAAAGUAAUAACUUUUGGGAAAGGGCUGUGUCUCAGUGGUAGAGCACUUGCCUAGCAUGUGUGAGGUACUGGGUUGAUUCCUCGCACCACAUAAAAGUAAGCAAAUAAAAUAAAGGUAUUGUGUCCAUCUACAACUAAAAAAAUAUUUUUUAAAAAAGUAAUAACUUUUAUUUGGGUCCCAUCCAAACCAGAAAAUGAACUAUAUGCCUUUUGCAUAUUAUUACUUAUUUUAGUCUAACAAUAACUUUACAGAUAAUAGGCUUACAUAAGGGCAUAACACCAGUAUAUUACAAAGCAAGGAUUCAAACCAAGGUCUAUCAGACAUAAAAUCAUUUCUACUAAGACAUUCUAAGGAUGGUUUGCAAAGGAACAUAUUUCCAGUUUAAUUGUCAAUCAUAUUCUCUCUUGAACAUAGUUUCUAAAUUAUCAGGGAAUGAGAAGAGAAAAACAUGCUUAAAAAGAACAUUGGUGGGGCUGGGGCAACGUUCUAGCUCAGUGGUAGAGCACUUGCCUAGCAUUCUCAGUAUUGCAUAUAAAUAAAUUAUAAAGGUCAAAUGACAACCAAAAAAAAUUAAAAAAAAAAAAUUGCUGAAGAAAGCAGGUAAGUGUCUGGGAGAAACAUUCAACAUAUUAUGUACCUACUAUGUGCCAUUUGCUGUGGGGCUCUUAUAUGUCUAAAUAUUUAAUUAUUGCAAAACCCCUGGAACAUAGGGAUUUUUAUAUAUGAGGAAACUGAAGUGUAGAGAAACCUGUCAAAGUCAUAGAAGUUGCAAGAGAUGGAGUCAGGAUUGGAAACUAAAUUUAGUUCAUCGUUAAAUAUUUACUGAAUGCCUGCUAUGUACUAGGGCUAUAAAAGAGAUUUAAAACAGAAUAUUAGAAAUCCCCCAUCACAGAACUCAAACUAAAACCCCUUUCCUUUCUUUCUUUCUUUUCUCUUUUUUAAGGUCCAGGCUCUAGCCUAAACUCCUGGGCUCAAGUGAUCCUCCUGCCUCAGACUCCUUAUUAGCUGGAACUACAUGUGCAUGCCAAAAUACCUGGCUCUCAAACACAUUUUCUUUUUGUUCAGGAAGUUGUAAAACUGAAAAAUCCCCCAUAGAUAUCUCUUUGAAUAGUUCUAUUUUAAAUGACUGUUUAAAUGUUUAGGUUACACACAUUAGUAAUACCCAUAAACCCCAAACAUAGAGUGCCAUGAAAACCAAACAAGCAUCCAGUAGUAAAUUCUGUCCUACAUGCAGAUUUUUAACAAUACUACCAGAUGAUGCCACAUUAGAAAAGACACUUCACAUGUUUUGGAGGAGGAUUUAAAUCAUUAAACAUUCUAUGAAGACUGAAGUUGUAUGAGAUUUUAAAUGGCAACAGUAAAAUUUCAAAAAGAACAGAAGUAGUCAGCACAAAGCUAGUUUAACAUUAAUAAUAAGUGAGCUAAUAAACAGGUCUAUGUUUACCCCAUCAGGUACUGCUUAUUAUGUCAUCUGGAAAACCAGAAGGAAACUGGUUUUAACUCCCAUAUAACCUGUAUCAUGACAACAUCACUUUACCACAAAUCAGCUGAUACCAGCAUAAAACUGGGGCAGUUCACAUUAAAAAACUGUUUCUUCCUUUCCAAGCACUUUCAUAAUUCAUUCAUGUACAGACUUUAUAGAGUAUCUCCUUAAGGGAAAAAAAGGGGACAAUUAACACAGAACAUUUGAUAUGCCAGAUACUACAUGAGUUUUCUUAUUUAAUUCUCAUAGCCAUCUUGCAAGAUAUUAUCAUGGUCUAUUAGAGGAAGAGACAGAACUUUUAAGAAACAAAGUAACUUUUCUAAGGCCACAUAACUAAUAAAAAGCAUCAUGUUCAAAUUCAGAUGAAAUUAUUAUAAUGUUGCACAGCACUAAAUGGCUGUCACUUUCUUAACCUGCAAAAAAUAAUAAGUAAGUAAGUAAUAAAGGAGAUGAACUGGAUCAUCUCUAAGAUCCCUAAACAUUAAAAACUUUAUGAGAAUAUAAUCUUGGGGCAGGAAAAGCAGAGUGCAAAUAACAACCUGGAUUAAAAAAAAUUAUAGCUCUUUUUAAAAAUUCCUGGGAAGGUCACUAUGAAACAGAAUACAAAACAGUUUCAGGUAGAAAACUUCACACAUAAAUAUAACAUUUAGUAUUAUCAAUAGAGAACCUAGUUAGAAAAAACUAGUUCCAUCUUAAAACAAUGCCAUUGUAAAAGUCUGCAAUUAGGUGGCUGGGGUAUCGCUCAGUAGUAGAGGACUUGCCUCCUAUGUGUGAGGCACUGGGUUCGAUCCUCAGCACCACGUAAAAGUAAAUAAAAAAAAUAAAGAUACUGCAUCCAUGUAUAACUAAAAAAUAUGUUUAAAAAAGUCUGCAAUCACCAGUGUAAGCCAGCUCAGGCAAGGUCACCUAGGGUCAAAUCCAUGAACAACUAAUCCAUAAAUAAAUAUUGAAAAAUCAUGAGGUUCUAGAGUCAAACAAGUUUGAGAAAUGCUGGAUUUAACAUUAGUCCUGUUUCCUUACUGGCUGCAAGUAGUAUAUUGGGCUUGAGACCUAUGAAGUCACUCCUUUUUUUUUUAUAGGACACAAUAUCUUUAUUUUAUUUAUUAUUUUUAUAUGGUGCUAAGGAUCAAACCCAGUGCCUCACAUAUGCUAGGCUAGGCAAGCACUCUAUCACUGAGCCAUAACCCCAGCUCUAGAGUCUUCCUGGAUUUGAAUCCCAGCUCUUCCAUUUCAGCUCAGCCAUGUGAUUUAUAGUAGAUAAAGUUUUUGUAAAGAUUAGAAAGAUUGCUGGAUGCAGUGGCCCAUGAUAGUAAUCCCCAAAACUUGUUAGGCUGAGGCAGGAGGAUCACAAGUUCAAAGCCAGCCUCAGGAACUUAGUUAAGCCCUAAGCAAUCUAGCAAGACUCUAUCUAAAAAUUAAAACAUAAAAAAAAAUAUGGGGGCUGGGGAUGUGGCUCAAGUGGUAGUGCACUCGCCUGGCAUGCGCGGGGCGAUGGGUUCAAUCCUCAGCACCACAUAAAAAUAAAGAUGCUGUGUCCAC
rnacentral:lncRNA from 1 species